CUCGGAGUUUGAUCCUGGCUCAGAUUGAACGCUGGCGGAAUGCUUUACACAUGCAAGUCGAACGGUAGAGGGGGCAACCCCUCGAGAGUGGCGAACGGGUGAGUAAUAUAUCGGAACGUGCCCAGUCGUGGGGGAUAACGUAGCGAAAGUUACGCUAAUACCGCAUACGAUCUGUGGAUGAAAGCGGGGGAUCGCAAGACCUCGCGCGAUUGGAGCGGCCGAUAUCAGAUUAGGUAGUUGGUGGGGUAAAGGCUCACCAAGCCAACGAUCUGUAGCUGGUCUGAGAGGACGACCAGCCACACUGGAACUGAGACACGGUCCAGACUCCGUACGGGAGGCAGCGAGUGGGGUAAUUUUGGACAA
rnacentral:rRNA from 1 species